rnacentral:lncRNA from 1 species
CAUAAUAAAGUUACUUGGCCCCACAAACUUCUUUUUUUUUGUGGUAAGGGUACAUACUAAUAUAGAAACGCAAAGAAAUAGUAGCACAAGGGCACAGGGUUCAGCCCGGGUUAAUUAUAAAAGAGUGACUUAAUUUUUCAGCUAAGGAUUGAGCAUUUGAAUUUAUAUGUCUUUCAAAAUAAGUUCCUCUCAUGUCUUCUCCCAAGUCUUGAUGAACAUACAUAGGUGGAACUAGCAAAAGAUGGGCCUCUUCAAGGUAGUUUGAGGCCGCCCCAUGUGUGGCGAGCUUGUCCGUGACCUGAUUCUGUACCCUAAAGCAAUGGUGGACUGCUGGGCAGCCCGCCUCUCUUAGCUU